rnacentral:misc_RNA from 1 species
GCUUACUCAAUGGAAAACAAGUAGGUUCAAUCCAUAAGAUUAAGAUGCUUUCUUUUCAAAUACUCUGAAUCUUUAUGAAUUAUGACACUCAAAUUCAUUGAAUUGUCUUUAAGAUUUAUUUAUGCAUCCAUGUGUUUAUAUACACUUGCUCUUGCUAUUCAAUAUCUCCAAGAUUUGCUUCUACACUACAAUUGAAAAGGCCAUCUCAUCAAUAUAAUGUGGUAGCAGCCCCUCUCUCCAUAUUUAGUGAUUGAUUUUCAUGUCCCUGUUUGCAGUUUUGGAAAGCAUAUAUUGUUUCAUUAAAGUGCUGUGAGUGAAUGCUCAACUUAUGUGCUCUACUUGGUCCAUUCAUCAUUUUGAAAAGAUGGCAACCGUAGGUGGUGAUAUCAGUGCGUUUCUCUGUUCCUUGCUCGUCCUACUUCACCUUGGGUUCUAGGUUUGGGAUUGAGUGUGAAUUUGUGAGCUUUGAUGGCAGUUCGGCUGGGUUGAUUGUUUUAUUGGGCAGGCUGCCAUUAGUCAAUGUAGGCUUCCCUUUUUGUGCAGGUUUUAAACCAAGUUUGUAUGUAUAUCUUCGCCCUAUGAGAUUCUAAUGCAAUUAGCAUGUAAAAAGAAGA